UGAUAGCGUAGAAGCGUGAGGUUGCCACCAUCUGGUGGGUUUUUCCGUGGAGCGAAUGUCAAGAGACCGAAGAUCAGCAUUUCGGUCGGUAA
rfam:Clostridium sp. CAG:167 genomic scaffold, scf122